rnacentral:misc_RNA from 1 species
ACUGUCACUGGACUUUAACCAUGGCCUAUUUGUCUCAAUAGCAUUUUCAGUCUCACCAUCCUUAAAACCACAUAUGACCAGGCAAAUGUCUGUUUGCCCAGUUGCACAAACUCAAAUUUAUUAAAGAAUGGUAAUUGGAGCUAUUGCCUCACAAAUUACACUGAACAGCUCUGGUGAUUAACCCUCACAAAAACACAACUCUAAAAGAAGUCUAACUAAAUUCUGAAAUCUUACCUUUUAAGUUUUAACCGUACAAUUAGCAAUCAUCAAUUUGAUGUUGAAAGGAAUUCAAUUUUAUUUUCCUUAAUUGAAAUGAAUUAUUUCAGUGAAGAAACUAGAACAUAAGGCUUUCUUUUUACCUAGAUAAGUGAAUCCUAAACUUUUAUCCUCAACCAUUCUGUAUUUAUUUACCAGCAAGUCUCUAACAGCAUCAAAG